rnacentral:rRNA from 1 species
AUUGAACGCUGGCGGCAGGCUUAACACAUGCAAGUCGAACGAGUGGCGGACGGGUGAGUAAUGCUUGGGAAUCUAACUUAUGGAGGGGGAUAACUACGGGAAACUGUAGCUAAUACCGCGUACCAUAGGAUGAGCCCAAGUGGGCUUAGGUAGUUGGUGAGGUAAAGGCUCACCAAGCCGACGAUCUCUAGCUGGUCUGCGAGGAUGACCAGCCAGACUGGGACUGAGACACGGCCCAGACUCCUACGGGAGGCAGCAUGGGGGAAUAUUGCGCAAUGGGGGCAACCUGACGCAGCCAUGACUCGUGAUGGAAGAAGGCCUGUGGGUUUUAAAGUUCUUUGGGUAGCGAGGCUUUAACUACAGAAGAAGCACCGGCAAACUCCGUGCCAGCAGCCGCGUUAAUAC